UAGUACGAAGCAAUAAAGUGUAUAUUUCAAGAAAUAUUUCUGAUCCUGAAAUAUUUCUGAAAUAAUUAUCGACUAUUGCGCACAAUUAUAUUUCACUAUCCAUUAAGGAUUUGCCUGAAUUUACUGGUUACGACAAGUAUUUCUUCAUUUUUUCCACUCGAUUAUGAGUGGGUUUAUCAGUAGCAGUAAAUUGGUUGGAUUUAAGAAGGUAAGUGCUGUUGAGAUUGACUAAUCUAAUCGAGUUUCUUUUUGUUUUAAGAGUCUCAUAAUUGCCCACUUUUGGCAUGCUUACCUCACAGUUGGCAUGCUGGAAAAAUUGCCUAAAAACCACUGAAGUGGAUGAAAAGAAAUUCAGUACAUUUCACAUAUGUUGCUCGAAAAAUUUUUUGGGCCUUAAAUUUUGUGGGCAUUUCCAACAAUACGAAUGGAGAAGCUGGUAAAAAUAUAAACUUUAGUAUGUGCCUCCAUAGCCGAGGCCAGUUAUGUGUAUUGUUGCCGGUUAUUGGUAUUGUAGAGGGCAGCACUUGUAAUCUUAAGAAUGAAUAUAUUGCAAAAUCAAUCUGUAUGGUAUUAAAAACUUGAAGUAGAAAA